rnacentral:lncRNA from 1 species
UCAGUUAGGGUUUCACUGCUGUGAACAGAUACCAUGACCAAGGCAACUCUUAUAAGGACAACAUUUAAUUGGGGGUGGCUUACAGGUUCAGAGGGUCAGUCCAUUAUCAUCAAGGCAGGAGCAUGGCAGCAUCUAGGCAGACGUGGUGCAGGAAGGGCUGAGAGUUCUACAUCUUCAUCUGAAGGCUGCUAGCAGAAGCCUGGAUUCCAGGCAGCUAGAACAAGGGUCUUAAAGCCCACACCCACAGUGAUACACCUACUCCAACAGGGCCACACCUUCUAUUAGUCCCACUCCCUGGGCUGAGUGUAUACACACCAUCACAGUUACAUAGGAUGGAAUGUAUCUUGAACUUGAUACAUCAUGGAACUGAACAUUAGGGCUGGGCAUAUGGUCCCAGCACUCUUCCUUCAUUGAACUUCCCCAACUUCUAGCCCAUCUGCUUUCUCUUCUAGAUGCUCUCUAGAAGCUGGCUCUACAGGGCUAGAAAUCAUUGCUCAAUGUGUGAGACUGGCAAGGUUUCAGUUCAGGCUCAAGGGAAAUGCUUCUAAUGAUUGUGGGUAAAUGAUCAUGAGUGGGAGAAGGCAAGCAUCCCGUCGUGGUGACUUCCACGCUCAGCUAUACCCACUAAGCUCUAGGUCUUUGGCCAAGUGUUUCCCUCCUCCAAAGCUUACUAAAAUUGCGAGAAUGUGCUCCUGAGAGACUUAGGACUGAUGUUGCUGAAAUGCUCAGGUCAUUGUGAAAAUAAUUCCUUUGCCUAAAACAGCCAAGACUCUGACCUCCUUGAGUGUUGUGAGUCUAGGUGAGCUACAGCCACAGGAUUGUCCAAAAGGAAUCUUUAGGUCCACAAGGGACCUCUGUGCAUUCUGUUCAUGUGUAUGUGUGGAGUGACAUCCUCUGGGGAUUCUAAAAAGUACACAGAGCCUUGCAACAUUCCUAGAGGUAUCAUUAGACUCUGGCAAGGAGGGCCUGGUCUCUCUCUCUCUGUUGAUCAUGUUCCUAAAAUACAGUAAGUACCACACCAUCAUAGCCAGAUGUGAGCACAGGACAGUUCGUUUGUUCGUUCGUUCGUUCGUUCGUUCGUUCGUUCAUUCAUUCAUUCAUUCAGUCAGUCAGUCUUUCUUUCUUAUUUAUUUAUUUACUAUUUAUUUAUUUUUGAGACAGGGUUUUUCUGGAACUUGCUCUGUAGAGCAGGUUUGGCCUGGAACUGGAAAUCUGCCUGCCUCUGUUUCCCAAAUGCUGCGAUUAAAGGCGUGCGCCACCACC